rnacentral:misc_RNA from 1 species
UUUUACUGGAAGUUUGCAUAACUGUGGAAAAAUAUCAACAUUAGACGAAUAAAUGCUGCUAUAAAGUAUUUGAGCUAGAUCAUCAUAUCACUGCAAAGCAUGGCAAUGGCAAUUGACAGUGUAAAGCACCUUAAGUGGCAAGCAAAUCAAAAUAGUGAUUAACACAGGGGGAGGGGAGGGGGGGUGUGUUGGUAAUCGAAAAUUAAAAAGAAAAAAAAAUAGUGAUAUAUCUAAUGCAUUUCCCUAGACAACUAGGCCAGGAGUAAAUACGUAUCAUUUUGAAGCCAGUAUGAUGGUUCUCACUCGAUGUCAACUAAAAAGAGAUUACAGUUUUGAAUGCAAAUGCCUGACAAGGAGAAACAGCUCAUAAGUUACACAGUAUUGGAAGAAGAUUUAAACUUAGGAAUUAUAGUCCUGGCAGAAUUAAGAGGUUUAAGAAUUUUAUUAGGUUUAG